rnacentral:lncRNA from 1 species
UUGUUUUUGCGUAUGCGUUUCUGUGUGGAAACGUUUUACAUAUACUCGUCAGGGAUCUUAAAAGUCUCAGGGAUCUUGAAAGUAUCAGGAUCUUCAUCUUGAAGCCAACCAUACAUCUUUGUAAAAGGAUUCGAAAUCGAUUUAGGUGGAUAAUCAUUAAUGCAAUGAUUCCACACAUUCCCUUUUGAUUCUCCAGUGGUGAGGUCUCUCAAAACUUCCCAAACGCAACUAUUACACUUAAAACCAGCUCCAAAGCUUAUCAUAAACACCCUAUCUCCUCUCUUCAGUCUCUUCUUAGCCUCCAUGUAAGCCAACACAUACCACAAACUACUAGCCGAGGUAUUCCCAAACCUGUAAAGAGUCAUCCUCGCCGGUUCAAUAUCAUAGUCGGUUAAAUCCAAGCUAUGUUGGAUCCCAUCAAUCACAGCUUUUCCUCCGGUAUGAAUGCAAAAAUGUUCAAUCCCGGUCUUGAAGUUGAUCCCUGCCUUUAUAGGAGUCCCCGGUGGGAGAUUCGUGGAGCCCUUGCUAGGGUUUUGACGCAUCUUGAUUUUCUUGAUGAAAAGCUUUACCAUGAACCUCAAGAGCUCGGUAACAGGAAGAAUCUUGGGUGCUAUAACCUUCAAAUUGUCUACCAAAGCGCGAGUGGCUGCCUUUGGUAGAUUCUUCCCCAAGUAAAACCCUACACGGCCUUGUUCGUCCUCGGACUGGAUACAACAGUUGUAAGAAUCCUCUCUAGCUCCAUGGUGAGUCCGUACCAAACACUUGAGCUUAAACAUUGCUUUCUCUCUCAAGCUACGUUUGUUAGUCAAGAGAAUGGCAGCACCACCGGACCGGAACAAGCAGUUGGCUAGAAUCAUCGAACGGUUGUUUCCGCUAUACCAAUUAGGGCUCAAAGACUCGGAGGUAGCAACGAGAGCUAAUUUGUUUGGGUAGCUUUUGAAUAUGUUCUUGACAAUGUCUACAGAGAUUAGACUCGCGCUACAUCCCAUCCCGGUUAAGUUGAAGACUUUGAUGUCUUCCCUCAUCUUGUAAUGGUUUAUAAUUCUUGACGGUAAAGAAGGCAUUGAGGUGAGCAUGGAGACGUUGACUACGAGGAUGUCGACUUCUUUAGGUGAGAUUUGCUGUCUCUCCAGGAGUUUUCCGAUGGUGUCUACGUAGAACUCUUCCAUCUCCGAGAUCCCAUCUUGCAACGUAGGACGCUCUCAGUGGGUUCUACAUCACCGUUGAAUUUUGUUUGAGAAGUUUAAUACAGUACCUUUUAAAUAAUUUUUCUACAGCUUAAAAAGCUUAAGGUGAAUUUUAAAGACAAGUGGGGAUACAUUGAUGUUUGCGUAUACAUGAUGCAAUACGUGUUCCUUUAUUAAAUGUGAUUACUUGAAAGAAUUUUGGAAAUACCAAAAUUACUGAAAGAGUUUUGUCAGAAUACUUUUCUUAAAAAUGGGUAAGAACUUGUUAACUUUGAUAAAAAAACUUACACGUCCGAAAAUACCAAACUUAAAUACAUAUAAAAUCUUUUAAUUGGUAAUUUUGCUCAUGUAGUUCAUGUGUCUUAUGGUUGAUGUUUAGAACUGUUUUAUGGCUAUACGUUGGUAACGAUGAGGGUAAGUACUGUCUUAUUAUAUAGUUGUGCAUGUUUGAGUUUUGAAGAGGCAUAUAUUCGUUAUGGUUUUAGAAAUUGUUGACAUAUAUUACUAGCUUGGUUUCUCAUGUGGUUGGGAGCUGAUAAGUGAUCGAGGAAACUAAGCUUCAUUUUGCUGAAAAAUGUGGCAUAAUUUUUUUUUCAAAAAGACUGGCAUAGUCUCAACUUAAGAACGCUUCGUUGGAUUUGUUUGACAGUGAAGAAGAUAAGAGUAGUGUAAGCUUUUCUUCCACAAGUGGAUUUGUUUGACAGUGAAGAAGAUAAGAGUAGUGUCUGUAUAUGUUUUCUUCUUCCUUUUUAAUCUGUAAAUUUUUCUUUUAUCUUUUUAAUAUGAAUUCCUUUUAAAAAAUGAAUCUAUGGAGAAGAAGAAUGAGAUAACGUAAAGAGAGAAGGAGAUCAAACAAAGAGUAAAAUUAAUAGAUAUAAGUUUAUAUGGAAGACUAGUAUAUCUCCCGUGCUAUGCACGGCUAUUAUUUAUUUGUAUGUAUAUAUACACUAAAUAUAGUAGAUAUAAAUUUAACAAUGUUAAUUUGCAUUUUUUUAAAAAAAAUUGAUAUUUAUAACUUACAAUUGCAUAAUAUAAAGAGCCCUAAUAUAAUCCUGAAAGUAAAAUAUUGAUCUUCUUUCAAAACCAAAUAAAAAUUUAUUACAUAUGAAACACAAAUUGAAGAAAAACAUGUGUUUUCCAUAAGUACUAUUAACAUAUCAACCUUACUUUGUAGAUAAAUUCUAUUAGUGUCUUUUGUCGUGUUUAUCUCUUUUUUUUUCCUAUGGAUGCUUUUGUUAUCUUUCACUAUAACUUUUACAUUUCUUCAUUUUCAAUGCUAUACAUGCUUUGACAUUUUGUUUCCAAAAAAAUCAGACAAAUUUUGUUAAGCUUAGAAGAAAAGUAAAAGUGAAAAAGUAUAUAUAGAUCAAAAGUAAACAAAAUAAACACAUAAAUAAAAAAAUAAGGAAGACCAACCUGAUCACUGAUCAGAUUAGUAGGUGAUAUAUGAGUCUUUUUCAUUUUUCCUCUCACCUGAAUUUCUCCAGCUCCAUUUGUUGUCUUCUAAUGAUCAUCAUUUUUUCUUGUGGCACUUCUCAAAUUUCUGAAAGAUUUUGUACGUGUGCUUUACGGCGAGUCUCUAUUAUUCUCCUUCUCUUUUUUUUUGUGUGCACAUUAUUCUCCUUCUCUUUUUUUUUGUGUGCACAUUACCACACAAAAUAAGAACUUCCAACAAAUCCAGAAUUGGUUUAAUCUAAUUUGAAAAUGAUAUCGACUUCGUUUACUUGCGUUAUCACUUUCACCCAGCAUGUAGCAAAAAUGUUUAUAAAAAAAGCUAUCAGUAGAUUAUAAAAGAAAAGGUCGACGAAAAAAAAAUUUCAACAUGACGCAAUUUAGGAUUUGAGGAGGAAGAGUUUGAGUGUUUUUUAGAGUUAAUAACCUGGACACUACUAACGUUCAUCAGCCAAUUUUGGAGUACGAUUGGCCUACCCGUUUGAAGCCUACUGUUGUGCCACCGUGGGUUUGCCAGAGAUUUCGUUGAUAUUGAUCCACCAUUUCAUUCAAAAAAAAAAAAAAGAUAUUGAUCCACCAUUCGAUACUAUGGAUACGGUUAAUAAAAUUUUCAAUCUAUCUGUUUAAAAUUGCAAUUUCACACUUUAGACAGAGAGUUAGAAGCUGUUACAAAGAAUUUAGGAAUUUAAGCAAGUAGAGAUGAAUUUGAGUUAAAGCUCUGUGAGUUAAAUGUUAUCCAGAAAAAAAAGGAUUACCGGUUCCAAAGAGUAGGAGAUCAUGGGUGUAGUGUGAGAACUAUUAGGGGUUUUUUGUUCUACAUACCAAAAUCACUUACGAAGAACACACGAAACUGUUUUUACAUUUAUUUUUCUUUGCAGUUAUGUUUUUUUUCCUUUGCAUUUAUGUUUUUAAAAUUUGUAAAACAUAUGACAUGUGUCAGAUUUUGAUUUGUUAGGCGACUUGCGCUUUAGUAUAUAAGGGAUACAACAAUUUUGAAUCAUGAUCAAUACUUUUGAACGUGGUGUUUAUGGUUUUUCUGAACGGGGUAUUGAUAAUCUGAUUUUUUUUAGGGAUUUAGUCAUUGGAUGUUGAGAAAAUUUGGAAUCAAAAUUUUCUUUUGUAUUGACAUUAUUUUUUUUAUACAUAUCCACAUGUCACUCUUUGAUUCGCUAAGCAACUUGCGGUUUAGUAUAUAAGGGAUUUUAUUCUCUUUUUUAAAAAAGAGGUAAAUUUCAUUCCAAAGUGUUCUUAUAAAAUAAAAGAUAUUUUCUAUUAUUUGUAGAAGAAUGUUAUAUUUAUCCUAUUUAUAAAAUAAGAUAUAAUAUUAAUUAUAAAUGAAAAAGUAUAAAAUUUCUUUAUUUAGAAGAAUACAUUGGAGUGAAAUUCACUUAUAAUCUAACGUUAUUCUAUGUACAGAAAAAAAAGAGAUAUAGGUUAGAUCCUAAGUUGAGAUUUUUUUUUGUGUGGCAACAAGUAAGAUUAGGUUUUUUUAAGUUUGUUUAAAGUUUUGAUUUUGAAUUUUACAAGGCUGACAUAUUUUUACUCUAUAGUUCAGUCCAUUAGUUUUCUUUAUUUAUCUAGAAAACUUAGUGUGCCAUGUUUUUGCGCAUAUUUUGAUAUCGAGAAUCUAUGUGCAUUUAUGAUCUGCAUGAUUAAAUAUGAAACCAACUGUGUAAUGACAGUGGAUAUGAGGUUCAUUGGAUGAUUAUUGGCAGAGAGCUGCUCCCAUACUGGCAAGCUCGAGAUUAUUUUCAAUCUAUUCACCAUUAGCAUUUAUCACGUUACCAACUUGUCAUUCAUAACGUAGAUGCCAUAAAACCUACGAGCGUCAGGAUCCAUUGCCUGACUUAUGAAUAAUUGUUAGCACAGUUUUAGUCUAACAUAUAAAUAUAUACAUACGCAUAUGCAUAGACAAAAGAGUCUGAUGAGACAGCAGUAGCGGAGCUAGAGCAGUGGCAUGUGGGUCAAAUGACCCAUAUGAAAUUUUGUAAAAAAAAAUUUACAUGUAUUUCUUGCAUAAAAUCCAAAGAUGCGUUUCUGUGUGGAAACGUUUUACAUAUACUCGUCAGGUAUCUUGAAAGUCUCAGGGAUCUUGAAAGUAUCAGGAUCUUCAUCUUGAAGCCAACCAUACAUCUUUGUAAAAGGAUUCGAAAUCGAUUUAGGUGGAUAAUCAUUAAUGCAAUGAUUCCACACAUUCCCUUUUGAUUCUCCAGUGGUGAGGUCUCUCAAAACUUCCCAAACGCAACUAUUACACUUAAAACCAGCUCCAAAGCUUAUCAUAAACACCCUAUCUCCUCUCUUCAGUCUCUUCUUAGCCUCCAUGUAAGCCAACACAUACCACAAACUACUAGCCGAGGUAUUCCCAAACCUGUAAAGAGUCAUCCUCGCCGGUUCAAUAUCAUAGUCGGUUAAAUCCAAGCUAUGUUGGAUCCCAUCAAUCACAGCUUUUCCUCCGGUAUGAAUGCAAAAAUGUUCAA